rnacentral:rRNA from 1 species
CGGCCGCGGUAUCCUGACCGUGCAAAGGUAGCAUAAUCAUUUGUUCCUUAAUUAGGGACUUGUAUGAAUGGCCCCACGAGGGUUUAACUGUCUCUUACUUUCAAUCAGUGAAAUUGACCUUCCCGUGAAGAGGCGGGAAUACAAAAAUAAGACGAGAAGACCCUAUGGAGCUUAAAUUAAUAUGCUCUGAGCAACAAAUUUUGGUUGGGGUGACCUCGGAGUAUAACAAAACCUCCGAACCAAGACCUACUCGUCAAGGUCAAUCAUAUUGAUCAACGAAACAAGUUACCCUAGGGAUAACAGCGCAAUCCUAUUUGAGAGUUCAUAUCGACAAUAGGGUUUACGACCUCGAUGUUGGAUCAGGACACCCAAAUGGUGCAGCAGCU